rnacentral:lncRNA from 1 species
UAAAGAUCAACUUGUCUGGUGAGUAAUAAUGGAUUUUGUUACUGAUAUUGCAGAGAAAUGUAAACUUGAUUUUGUGUUUAAUAUAUGCUAUACAGAUAGUCAAUUGUGGGCAAGUUUGUAUGAGCAAUGUAAACAAGCAGAUUCAGCUAUUGAUAAUAAACUGUUAUGUUUAAAUAAAACAAAAAAGAAAAUUAGAAAUGUUUUAAAAUUGGUAGAAACCUUUGACACAAUGAUCCUUAGAACAGGGGUGACUCCAACAAAAUUGCAAGUACCAGCACAAGUAAAGGUGCAAAAUUUAAAAAAGUACACAGACAGACAUUAAAGAGAAAUCUGUAUGUGUAACAGGAAUGGAAUGUAGUAACUGUGAUAGACUCCAGGCAAAUGUUUGUGAUUUAGAAGAAAAGAUAGAUCUUAAAUCUGAAUUGAUCUGUAAGCUCAGAAAUUAAGGUAAACAGUUGUGUGUAAUUACAAGAAGUGAUCAUAAUUUGAUACCAGAGCCAGUUGAUGUCACAGAAAUAUCAUCCCAGUAUGAUUUGCAAAGUAGAAAAUUAUUAGAUAAGGCUGCAAAACUUAAAUUAAAAAUUCAAGAGCAGUUGAUGAAAGUUACCAAAGAUAUUCCCCCAUAUAAUCCAUCGAUGGAUGCCUUUGGUAAUGCAGACGUAUUUGAGUAUAAUUUAUCUAAACAUAAUUUGAAUGACAAACAAAGGAACAGAUUGUUUAAAAUAUGGCUGCCAACAUACAUUGCACGUAGACUGACCCCACCCAUAACUACCCCUAAUGACGAAGAUGGUGAAAUAGUCCAUGGGAAUGAGCGAGAUAGAUUGACACAAUUAAUAAGAUUAACAACCGGAAAUGAGCAUGUGGAUAUUGAGAUUUUAGAAAAAUUAAAACAGAAUAUAAAUGAAGAUGUCUUCAGUUUCCUUUUAAAAUUUGAGCAUGCAUACAGAUUGGUAUUGAGUAUUCCUGAUGAUCAGACACCAAAAUCUAUGGUUAAUGCAUUUGUAAAAAAAUCUAAAUAUCUUGAUCCAAUAUCAAUUGCAUGCGCUCUCCAGUGUCAAAAUAUUUCUAAAUAGGGUUAGAAGAUAAUCCAGACAACAAACGGUUAAAAAAUCUGUCUGUGCAGUUGGAAGAGAUAGGGGGGAGGAAAUAUUCAGCUACAGGAAGCCCCCUCCUUCCUGGAGUCCUGCAGCUGUUAGAACUCAGACAAAGAGGAGAGAAGCUCCAAGUUUCAAUAUGCCCCACUCACACUAUGAAAAAAACUUGACACAUAGUCUGGUCUGUGUGGCAAAUCAAGCUGUAGUUUUAAAACAAAUUGUAUUAUUUUCCUACUAUGCUUUGUAUUUUGCAAUGUAUGCGGUAUUCGUGUGUUAUAGCACACGAAUACCGCUAAUGUUAAGCCUGAGUAACCAUGAACAGUGAAUCACCGCACUGUUCGUGGGAUAAGCUAAGAACCGAAUGGGAGACCACACAUAGCCGGUCGUGUGUCUCCAAUUAAGUAUUUUGCAACAUUGUAUCCAAGUUAAUUGCGGUUUGUUGCGGGUGGCUGCCAUUCGUGUACCGAACACGAGGCGGCGGCCAUCUUUGUUUGCGGAAAGCCAGCUGGGUUUUGUCGUUGAGUGCCUGGAACUAAAAUUGGCUACUCGACAACACAAGCCCCGCUGGACUUCCGAGCCGUUUGGGAGAUUACCGUUUUCAGGACUUUCAUUCCCUCCAAUCAGGUAAUCGGUUUAACAAAGUAGUCCUGAUAGGGGAAACUGAACGGCGUUCGGUUAUUCGUGCUGGGAUCUGAGCGCAAGUUCACUUAACUGUGCGCCCAGGUCCCAGCUAUGUAAUAAAUGGUUAAACAGCUGUAUGGCAUAAAUAUUAUGUUAGUUAUAGAUUUUAAUAUGAAAACUGUGUUCCUCUCUACUCAUACUCCCAUUAGCAAUGCAUUCUGGGAUAAGUAUCUCCUUGGUACAGCAAUGUAUGAUGGGUAUUGUAUGUGUAAAACCCAGUCCCCCAUGUAGUCCCCUACUGAAAAAAUCCUGCAUUAGGACUUGGGAAACCCUGUACAUCUGUAACCACAUAAAUACUGUGCUAGUAAUUAAAAACAUCAGUUGACCUCCAAGCUAUGUGUCGUCUCGUUCUUGGGAGGAAGGGAUUGUAACUACGCUACCUGCAAUUUGCCUGUUUUAUACCUGCUUCAUCCUGUCUACCAGCGGAGAUACCGUGAAAAAUACUUCUACUCCGCUACAGUCUGUUUCUAUUGCAACAAGCCAGGUCAUAUAAAGAGAAACUGCAGGAAUUAUUUUUAUGAUUUACAAUCAAGGGAUCAUGGCAAAUCAAAUGGAUUCAUUCAAAAUAAUCCUAAUAUAGAAAACACCAGAGAUUUGCCAUAUACUCCUCUGAUAAGGCAAGUGAGAGAAAUUGUAGCUUGCUCAAACACAGGAGACAGACAGGGUGUGAUUUCUAACAUGUCUAAUCAGGCUGACCAAAUUUUUAAUUCACAAUGACAAUCUAAAGGAAUCAGGCCACGUCCACUUGAAUUUUUGGCUCAAUUAAAUUUAGAUGGAUGUGGUAGACCAUACAUUAAAUGUUCUUUAAAAGGUUAUGACCCAGAAUUUCUCACCGAUACAGGUGCUCAGUUAAGUAUAACUAGUUUACAACUACCUUUAUCACCAAGUGCACCUACAGGGAGUGCAGAAUUAUUAGGCAAGUUGUAUUUUUGAGGAUUAAUUUUAUUAUUGAACAACAACCAUGUUCUCAAUGAACCCAAAAAAACUCAUUAAUAUCAAAGCUGAAUAUUUUUGGAAGUAGUUUUUAGUUUGUUUUUAGUUUUAGCUAUGUUAGGGGGAUAUCUGUGUGUGCAGGUGACUAUUACUGUGCAUAAUUAUUAGGCAACUUAACAAAAAACAAAUAUAUACCCAUUUCAAUUAUUUAUUAUUACCAGUGAAACCAAUAUAACAUCUCAACAUUCACAAAUAUACAUUUCUGACAUUCAAAAACAAAACAAAAACAAAUCAGUGACCAAUAUAGCCACCUUUCUUUGCAAGGACACUCAAAAGCCUGCCAUCCAUGGAUUCUGUCAGUGUUUUGAUCUGUUCACCAUCAACAUUGCGUGCAGCAGCAACCACAGCCUCCCAGACACUGUUCAGAGAGGUGUACUGUUUUCCCUCCUUGUAAAUCUCACAUUUGAUGAUGGACCACAAGUUCUCAAUGGGGUUCAGAUCAGGUGAACAAGGAGGCCAUGUCAUUAGAUUUUCUUCUUUUAUACCCUUUCUUGCCAGCCACGCUGUGGAGUACUUGGACGCGUGUGAUGGAGCAUUGUCCUGCAUGAAAAUCAUGUUUUUCUUGAAGGAUGCAGACUUCUUCCUGUACCACUGCUUGAAGAAGGUGUCUUCCAGGAACUGGCAGUAGGACUGGGAGUUGAGCUUGACUCCAUCCUCAACCCGAAAAGGCCCCACAAGCUCAUCUUUGAUGAUACCAGCCCAAACCAGUACUCCACCUCCACCUUGCUGGCGUCUGAGUCGGACUGGAGCUCUCUGCCCUUUACCAAUCCAGCCACGGGCCCAUCCAUCUGGCCCAUCAAGACUCACUCUCAUUUCAUCAGUCCAUAAAACCUUAGAAAAAUCAGUCUUGAGAUAUUUCUUGGCCCAGUCUUGACGUUUCAGCUUGUGUGUCUUGUUCAGUGGUGGUCGUCUUUCAGCCUUUCUUACCUUGGCCAUGUCUCUGAGUAUUGCACACCUUGUGCUUUUGGGCACUCCAGUGAUGUUGCAGCUCUGAAAUAUGGCCAAACUGGUGGCAAGUGGCAUCGUGGCAGCUGCACGCUUGACUUUUCUCAGUUCAUGGGCAGUUAUUUUGCGCCUUGGUUUUUCCACACGCUUCUUGCGACCCUGUUGACUAUUUUGAAUGAAACGCUUGAUUGUUCGAUGAUCACGCUUCAGAAGCUUUGCAAUUUUAAGAGUGCUGCAUCCCUCUGCAAGAUAUCUCACUAUUUUUGACUUUUCUGAGCCUGUCAAGUCCUUCUUUUGACCCAUUUUGCCAAAGGAAAGGAAGUUGCCUAAUAAUUAUGCACACCUGAUAUAGGGUGUUGAUGUCAUUAGACCACACCCCUUCUCAUUACAGAGAUGCACAUCACCUAAUAUGCUUAAUUGGUAGUAGGCUUUCGAGCCUAUACAGCUUGGAGUAAGACAACAUGCAUAAAGAGGAUGAUGUGGUCAAAAUACUCAUUUGCCUAAUAAUUCUGCACUCCCUGUAUAUGUACAAUUGUAGGAGUUGACAGAAGUGGAGGAUCUAUGGCAACAUUAGUAAAUAAUGUUACUUUAGAAAUAUCUCAGUGUUUAAAAACAAAAAUUGAUCUUUGGUACAGCAAAAAUGUUGAUAAUAUCAUAGGCACAGAUGUUAUGCAAAGAAUAGGUUGGAUUGUUGAUUUGGGAAACAAAGCUAUUUGGAAAGAUGCGAAGGGUAGGAAACCAGUGCUAUUGGAUCCUACUGAAUAUGGGGAGUUAGGAAUUAUUUGUCCAGUAGAUGUAGUGUCUACAGAAAGGCAAUGGCCUAAUACUAGGGAUAACCUUGAACUUAAAGAGAUUGUACAGAGUUAUCCAGAUUUAUGGGCACAAAGUAAAAAUGAAUGUGGAAGAUUUAAAAAUGUCCUGAUCCACUCCCACAGUAAAGAUUACUCCCAGAUUCAAUUGAUUCUAUUGCAAGUGUCAUUAAUGAUUUGGAACAGAGAGGGGUAAUUAGGAAAGCAAAUAGUCCAUGUAAUCAUAAUCUGUGGCCAAUAUUGAAAAAAUAUUCAAAUUCCUGGAGAUUAACAAUUGAUUUAAGAACAUUAAAUAAAUACACACCACCUUCUGCACAUGUGGUGGCAGAAACCCCAGAUAUGACGUCAACGGCUAAAGUAUACUCAGUACUAGAUGUAAGUAAUGGGUUUUUCUCUGUACCACUGAAGCAUAGUUGUCAAUAUGAGUUUGCUUUUACAUUUCAAAAUCAGCAAUGUGUUUACUGUGUUACCCCCGGGUUUUCACAGUUCUCCAACAUAUUUUCAUCAGGCAUUGGCAAAAGUUUUGUCUACGUUUUCUAGGCCAGAAUGCUUGUUACAAUAUGUUGAUGAUAUGCUUUUGCAGACUGAAACUGAGGAAGAACACCUGAUUCUGUUAAAUGAAUUAUUUUUCCUCUUGCAGGAUUCUGGUUUAAAACUGAACACAUGCAAAGUAACACUGAUGCAACCAGAAGUACAAUACUUGGGUGUACACAUUGGUCCAGGACACAAGAAGCCAGUGCAGGAAAGAAUCAAAACUAUUUGUUCUCUUCCUGUACCGACUUCACACAAGGCCUUACGCCAGUUCCUAGGAUUAAUUAAUUUUUCCAGAGAAUUCAUUGAAGGGUUCGCUGAAAAAGCCAAACCUUUAUAUGAUCUCUUGAAAAAUAGUGAAUCUUUAUUUGGACCAUGGACAGAUGAACAUAAGAAUGCAUUUGAGGUACUUAAAAGAGACUUACAGGUUGCACCUGCUUUAGCGACAAUACAUCCAACUGCAUCUUUUGCAAUUCGAGUACAUACUUCAGAGACUGUCUCCGCGGUACUAUUACAAUUGCAGCAAGAGAUAUGGAGGAUAGUGGGAUAUUUUUCUAAAAUUCUUUCCCCAGUGGAAAGAGGUAAUGCGGUAAUGGCAACUGAACACAUAGUGGGAUAAAAGGACAUAGUUCUUGCAAACACCACACAUACCUUUGAAAUUACUUUUUGAAAAAGGAAUUCCAGGUGUGUCACAUCAGAGAUUUUCACAAUGGUUAAUAGCUCUAUUGCCAAAGCAAAUUAAGGUAGAACAUAAGGCAAAAUAUGUACUUCCACAACUAAUGCAAAAAGAGGGUAAACCCCAUGAAUGUUUACCAGAAGUUGAAGAGAAUUUUCUUUCUCUUUUCAGAAAGGAAGCAAGUGAAUCUGAUGAACCUGUGUUUGUUGACGGGUCCAGAUUCUGUUCAGAUGGGAAGUACUAUACAGGUUAUGCUAUAUGGUAUCCACAACGAGGAUAUUCAGUAGAACAUAAAUUGCCAGGUCAUUUGUCAGCACAGAGAGCAGAACUAGAAGCAUUAAAAACAGUACUAACACUUGAGGAAAAAGAAGGGCGUCCCCUAGUGAUAUAUAGUGAUAGUUCAUAUGUGGUUAGAUCACUAACAGAACAUUUAGCUAUAUGGAAAAGAAGAGGGUUCGUAGAUGCCUCAAAUAAAGUGUUAGCACACAAAGAGACACUAGAGACCAUAUUUGGAAAUGCGUCUCAAGAACCAUGUUUACAUGCUAUAGUCAAAGUUCCUGCCCACCAAAAAGGUAAAGAUUUACUUAGUGAAGAAAAUGAAAUAGCUGAUAAAUAUGCAAAAAGAGCAGCUUUAACUGGUGAGAAUGCAUUGCAGACAGAGCCUAUGUCAGUAGCAGUGGUUAGAAAGACUAACACACAGCCUCCAUCUUUUGCAGAAGAACAGGCAAAGGAUUCGUUCCAUUCGGCUUCUCAGGUUGAUCCAAAACCUCCAUUUGUUCAUGAGAACGGGGUUUUGUGUCAUGACCAAAACGGAGAACUGUGUCCGGUCAUGCCAGAACAUCUAAAAGUGUUAUUUACACAAUAUAAUCAUGAAAGUUUAGGUCAUAUUGGACAGCAGAAACUGUUAGAGGUACUCAGAGAUAUGUUUUAUUGGGAUAACAUGGAAAAGACUGUACAACAGGUAGUACAAUCAUGUUUGAUAUGUGCACAAAUAAAUCCCAGACCUAAAGGACAAAAAACACCUAAACAACGUAUAGCACCUGCAAAUGGUCCUUGGUCUACUUUACAAAUUGAUUUCAUUGGGCCAUUACCAACAGGUAAGAAUGGAUUAAAAUAUGUGUUAAUAGUUUUGGAUGUAUUCUCUAAAUGGUUAGAAGUAAUUCCAUUGACUAAAGAUGAUUCACAAAAAAUGGCUGAAGCAUUAUGGACACACAUUUUCUCAAGAUGGUACUCAUUUCACAGGGGAAAUCAUGCAAGCACUGUGUGCUAUUCUAGGCAUAGAGCAGAGAUUUCAUGUUCCAUAUCAUCCACAAUCUGCUGGGAUUGUGGAACGUAUGAAUCGAACAUUGAAAUCUAGACUUUCAAAAAUGUUACGUGAGAAAGGCAACACAUGGGUACAGGCACUUCCUGCUGUACUUAUGGGUAUUAGAGGCACUAUGUCUUCAGCUACACAAUACGGUUCAUUUAAAUUGAUGACAGGUAGGAAAAUGCAGUUGAAUUUUCCUAAUGAACCAUAUUUGUCUACCCCACAGAAAGAUGCAAUUGCUAAAAAUAAAUGGUUGCAAAUGCUUCAGGAAAAUUUGGAGUCAAUUCUUCCACAUGCAGCUACUCGUAUGUGCAAAAUGGCACCUACUGAUAUUUCAAAGUUUUUAAAGGUGGGUAUGGUCAUGAUAAAAACUUUUAGGAAAACUGGACCUUGGGAGGCAAACUGGGAAGGUCCUUAUAACAUAACAGAUACAACGGGACAAACAAUGGUACAAGUGCAAAGACCUCUUGAUGGUUCACGGAAUAAACGGAGGCAAAAUAGUUUUUGGGUUCAUGCAGAUCAGUGCAAAUUGUAUAAACCUACAACAUAAUCUGAUAAUAUAUUGAAACUGCUUUGUUUUUCUUAGUUUAUUUUAGAUAAUUUGUAAGCAGACCUACAGACGAAAGUUGGCCGGUGACAGACGAUGUGUUCGCAAAGACAACCGUGUAGCAGAAAGAAGUUGUUCGUCAGCAUCCUGCUAACAUUGAUGACUACAGUUCUUGUAAUAGUUAUAUUUAAGAUGAACAAAAUGACUUUCAAUCAGGAGUUAAAGAAUGACUUAUUGGGAAAUAUUAGAAAAAAGAGAGACAAUGAACAAGUAUUAAAAGGUCAUGUUUGUUUCGGGACAAAAGAUGGCUAUCUACAAGUAUGCAAUGUGCGAAUUAAUUUCACAGGAG